rnacentral:rRNA from 1 species
UAGGGAAUCUUCCACAAUGGACGCAAGUCUGAUGGAGCAACGCCGCGUGAGUGAAGAAGGUCUUCGGAUCGUAAAACUCUGUUGUUAGAGAAGAACACGAGUGAGAGUAACUGUUCAUUCGAUGACGGUAUCUAACCAGCAAGUCACGGCUAACUACGUGCCAGCAGCCGCGGUAAUACGUAGGUGGCAAGCGUUGUCCGGAUUUAUUGGGCGUAAAGGGAACGCAAGCGGUCUUUUAAGUCUGAUGUGAAAGCCUUCGGCUUAACCGGAGUAGUGCAUUGGAAACUGGAAGACUUGAGUGCAGAAGAGGAGAGUGGAACUCCAUGUGUAGCGGUGAAAUGCGUAGAUAUAUGGAAGAACACCAGUGGCGAAAGCGGCUCUCUGGUCUGUAACUGACGCUGAGGUUCGAAAGCGUGGGUAGCAAACAGGAUUAGAUACCCUGGUAGUCCACGCCGUAAACGAUGAAUGCUAGGUGUUGGAGGGUUUCCGCCCUUCAGUGCCGCAGCUAACGCAAUAAGCAUUCCGCCUGGGGAGUACGACCGCAAGGUUG